rnacentral:rRNA from 1 species
AAUGAACGCUGGCGGCGCGCCUAAUACAUGCAAGUCGAGCGAGAAGACGUAGCAAUACGUUUGUAAAGCGGCGAACGGGUGAGGAAUACAUGGGUAACCUACCCUCGAGUGGGGAAUAACUAGCCGAAAGGUUAGCUAAUACCGCGUACGCUUCUUGGACUUCGGUUCAGGGAGGAAAGCGAUGCCGAGGGUAUCGCGCUCUUGGAUGGGCUCAUGUCCUAUCAGCUUGUGGUGAGGUAACGGCUCACCAAGGCUUCGACGGGUAGCUGGUCUGAGAGGACGAUCAGCCACACUGGCACUGCGACACGGGCCAGACUCCUACGGGAGGCAGCAGUAAGGAAUAUUGCGCAAUGGGCGAAAGUCUGACGCAGCGACGCCGCGUGGGGGA